rnacentral:tRNA from 1 species
ACCUGGCUGGCCCACUCGGUAGAGCAUGUGACUCUUGAUCUCAAGGUUUGUGGGUUUGAGCCCCAUGUUGGGUA